rnacentral:rRNA from 1 species
CUGAUGGAGGGGGAUAACUACUGGAAACGGUAGCUAAUACCGCAUAACGUCGCAAGACCAAAGAGGGGGACCUUCGGGCCUCUUGCCAUCGGAUGUGCCCAGAUGGGAUUAGCUUGUUGGUGGGGUAACGGCUCACCAAGGCGACGAUCCCUAGCUGGUCUGAGAGGAUGACCAGCCACACUGGAACUGAGACACGGUCCAGACUCCUACGGGAGGCAGCAGUGGGGAAUAUUGCACAAUGGGCGCAAGCCUGAUGCAGCCAUGCCGCGUGUAUGAAGAAGGCCUUCGGGUUGUAAAGUACUUUCAGCGGGGAGGAA